GAUGAAGAACGUAGCGGAAUGCGAUACUUGGUGUGAAUUGCAGAAUCCCGUGAACCAUCGAGUCUUUGAACGCAAGUUGCGCCCCAAGCCGUUAGGCCGAGGGCACGUCUGCCUGGGCGUCACACGUCGUUGCCCCUCCCAACCCCUUCGGGAGUUGGCUGGGACGGAUGAUGGCCUCCCGUGCGCUCCGUCGCGCGGUUGGCAUAAAUAACAAGUCCUCGGCGGCCAACGCCGCGACAAUCGGUGGUUGUCAAACCUCGGUGUCCUGUCGCGCGCGCGUCGUCCGGGGCUUUUUCCAAUCUAAUGCGCGUCGAUUCGUCGGCGCUUUCAACGCGACCCCAGGUCAGGCGGGGUUACCCGCUGAAUUUAAGCAUAUCAAUAAGCGGAGGA
rnacentral:misc_RNA from 1 species